GUGGUUGUUGAGUCAGUCAUUUAUUCUCAUCUGGUGUGAACAAAACAAAACAAAAACCUGUUGGAAGCUUUUUUCUGUGUGCAAGUAACUUUGGAGCAUUUUUCAGCCUUCAUGCAGCAGUCUCAUCAUUACUUUGAAACAAAGGAGACAUGUUCACACUGCACUUUUCUGCGAAAAAGCGUAGUGACGGUGCUCCAUCCUAUUCCAGAAAGUGUUGAUGAUGAGCGCCCUAUGAUUAAAAACAUUAUACAGAUGGAUACACCACACAAAGACGCUGCACCGGCCUGCCCGAUAUGGGAGACUGAGACAUCCCUGAUUUCCAUGACGACUGAGAAGAUACAGACCAGAUGAGAAGGAUGGAGGACCACAGGAGCAGCUGGUGGUGGGCACCUUUCUGGCAGGACCCCUCUGUGUUUGUGGUGUUCCUGGAGCAGCUGAGAGAGGAAGUCAACCAGCCAAACAUCCCAUGAGGACCCAGCAGACCACUGACCCAGUCUCAGCACCCUACUGUCUGUGCUCCCAGGCACCAACUUUAUUCAGAUUUUUGUGUAUAAUUCAUCAUUGUGAUGGUGUUUGACAUAUUAAGUUAAAUAAAAAAUGUGCAAAUUAU